CCGCCCGGAUCUGAUCAAAUCGGUCUUCGGAACCGAGGGUUACAGGUUCGAAUCCUGUCGGGCGUG
rnacentral:tRNA from 1 species